CUCCGUUAGGGAUAGCAAUGGAAAUCCUUUGAAAAAGAUUGAAAUAAAUAGCCCUGGCCGUA
rnacentral:misc_RNA from 1 species